rnacentral:lncRNA from 1 species
AAAGCCACGGGCUUUAUAUGUAUAUAAAUAAAAAAUAUAUCUUUUUUUAAUUACAGCUUUGGCAAUUCCCAGCCAGUAAAUAGCAGCUCGGAGCAUAGGCCCGCAGCUGCAGAGCCAGCAGCCAUGACCCGGUGAGACCACGGCGCUGGGUGCGGGCAGCCCGGCAGGGACCUCUAGGGAAGGGAAGUCCAGAGGAAAAAGGAUAUCAAAGUCCAGCUGUCCAGUGUCAUCACAUUCAGAUUCUGCCAUGACCUAAAUAAAAAGACUGCAGGUGGCUGCUCUCUCUCCA